rnacentral:misc_RNA from 1 species
UACUUGAUUUUACUUGUGAGCCAAUUGAAAUCAAAACAUGGUAAUUUACAAAAAUUCAACUUGAAUUGUUUAGGGAGCAGAAAAAGGUUAAAACUGAAAAAACGAACCGAACCGAUCUGGUUCAGUCAUUAAUUUUAGAAAAAUUAGGUUUUUAGAUCGGUUCGUUUAUUUUCACCAAAAAACUGAAAAUAAACCAAACUAACUGAAAUGGGCUGCUUCUCUUUUAUGUUAUAGAACUCAUGUCCAUUAAAUAAAAGCCCAGCCAAUUCCUGCCCCCUUAAGGCCUAAACGUAAAACUUCCUUAAUUCCUUCUCCUCUGCACUGCAUUCAUCUUCUCCUCUGCCCAAGUCUGAAAACCCAACUUCCCAGUGAUCCCUUGAUCCCUUCU